UACGUAUGGGGCGAGCGUUGUUCGGAAUUAUUGGGCGUAAAGGGCGUCUAGGCGGGGGAUUAAGUUAGAUGUGAAAGCCAUGGGCUCAACCCAUGAACUGCAUCUAAGACUGGUUCUCUUGAGUUCGGGAGAGGAGAGCGGAAUUCCAGGUGUAGCGGUGAAAUGCGUAGAUAUCUGGAAGAACACCAGUGGCGAAGGCGGCUCUCUGGCCUAGAACUGACGCUGAAGCGCGAAAGCGUGGGGAGCGAACAGGAUUAGAUACCCUGGUAGUCCACGCUGUAAACGUUGUAUACUAGGUGUUAGCGGCUUGUCCGCUAGUGCCGAAGCAAACGCAUUAAGUAUACCGCCUGGGGAGUACGCCCGCAAGGGUGAA
rnacentral:rRNA from 1 species